rnacentral:lncRNA from 1 species
GAAGACUAGACAGAAAGAGGCAGAGAAAGAAAGAAGAAGGGUUUAGAUUCACCUCUGCUCUAUUAUUCCUCUGGCUUGGGAAGUCACUGUUACUGUCUAUCAUUUCGUCAUUUGUCCAACACAGCACGGUCAGUAAGGAGCAGAUGGUUCACUGCCUGCACUCUUGUGUCUUGGUCUAAAGGGUUCUAAUGUGUGCAUUUUCUACCAUGGCCUCGAAAAAUGCUCUAGUAUGGUUUGGUUUUGCUUUUUUUUUUUUUUUUUUUCUUCCAAAAACCUUUCUUUCCUCUCUGUCCUACGUAACAUGAGAAUUUCCAGAGUCUCACCCCACACUUUCUGCUCCUUGAUACCCCAGUCUUCUUCCUGGGUGGUCUUCCCCUUCUCCUGCUCCUAUUUCAAAGUCCCUUUUGUCUGAUAUUAAUGCAGCCUCUUAGGGUUGCUGUUUGCGUGGCUCCUCUUUUCCCUUCUUCCUGCUUUCAGCCUACAAGAAUCUUUGUCUCUAAAGUGUGUUUUCUUUAUGCAGCAUAUAGUUGGGUCUUGUUUCAUGUUUUAAUACAGUCUGAUAAUUCCUGCCAUUUGACUAGAUCAGGUAAUUAUUCAUAAUUAAGGUUCAAUUUACUUCUGCCUCUUUGCUUUUGACUUUCCAUGCCUCAAAUGUUGUUCAUGGAUUUUUAUCCUUCUUUUGCUGCCUCCCUUUAUAAGAACUAGAUAUUUUAUAGUAUAGCAUUUUCAUUUCUUUGAUUUUAAAAGUAUAUUUUUAUGACUUCUUUGAGUAUGUUAUACAUAAAUACAAUAUUUUUAAAAUCAUAUUUACUCCUACUUCUUCCUCUAACUCUUCCUGAAUCUAUUCUCACUCUCCAUCCCCUCACAACUUUAAGUCUUUCUUUUUUAAAAUACCAGAGAGUCCAGUUUAUACUGUGUAGAGUCCUGCAUUAAUGCAUGGUUGAUAUAGUUGGGGCCACACCCUUAUAGAAUAUGGACUCCUCCUUCCCCAGAAGCCACCAACUGUCAAUAGCUGCUCAUGGAGGGGUGGGAACUUAUGACACCCUUCCUCUCAUGCUGGAAUGUUGACUGGCUUGAUCUUGUGCUGGUCUUGUGCAGACAACCACAGCUUCUGAGAGAUUGUGAGUGCACUGGUCUUGUCAUAUCCAGAAGACAUUGCUUCCCUCCAGUCCUCCCCAACCUCUUGCCCUUACAAUCCAUCUGCUCCCUCUUUCAAAAUGCUCCCGAGCUUUGGAGGAAUGGGUGUGAUACGGUGUCCCACGUAAUGACUGAACAUGCCACGGAUUCUUGUUCUCUGCACUUUUACUGAUUGUGAGUUUCUGUAUUAAUUGAUAUUUAGUGCAUAAAGAAACUCCUCCUAUGGAAUGUAGUAGCUGCACUAAUCUAGGGGUAUAGAAAUAUCAGUUCACUACAGAGUCCAUCUAGAAAAAUAUUAAGUUCACCCAUGGAGCUUGUGAGAUCCUCAAACAUAGGUUCUGGUCAGAUGUGUAAUAUCAGACAUGAAUUUCCUCUUUUAAGGAAGUCCUUAAAUCCAAUCAGAAAGCAGCUGGUUGAUGCCAUGAUAUUUGUGUCACUAUUGUACCCAUCAACAUAGCUUGUCACACUGCUGUUACUAUAGUAGUUUACAGUUGAGUAAGACUAUUGUCCCAGCAGCCUGCAGUGCAUAGCUCCUUCCAGGAGAGAUCUCCACAGCAGAGAGAAAGCUUCCUGGUUAAUACCAACUUCAUUUCUUCAUGUCCUGUGACCAAAUAACAUUGUUUCUUCAGCAAUAGGGUCUUAAUAUCAAGUUCCAGUAGGCAACAAAGAGGAAUGCCAAUGACCUAUUAUGUUUGGGGAUUUCCCCCAAGACACCCCUGACAUCACCUGGCACUCUCUCCAUAUUUUGUAAUCUUAAACCUUUAUAUAUUGCCAUUUAUAUGUUACAAACCUCAUAUGAAUUCUAGUUAUUACUUUACAUAUUGUACAUAUUAUAUAGGAUCUAGACUCACAUAAGUUCAUGUUUACAAGGUAUUAGAUUGACCUUCCCAUUCACCGAGUGUGAUUUGCUCCAGUCUCUCCUGAAGAUUUCACUUGCUGUCUGGUAUCUUUACUUAACCUGAGAGUUGCGCCAUUUUUAUUCGUGUUCUUUAUGCUCCUCUUUUCAAAUGUAUGACAUUUAAGCAUCCUGUAAACCCAAUAGCGUGUGUACAUAUGCAUUGUUUUAUUAUGCUGUUCUUAUCAGGAGUACAUACCCAAUACUGUUGUCUUUAUCAUGUUUUAACUGAGGUGAAAUGCGUAUAAUGCUAGACUUAUUAAAGUGGAGAAUUCCAUGGCUUUUAUUGUACUCAUCAUGUUGUACAACCCUCACAUUCUUUAGUUUCUUUGGUUUGAAUUUCUUAUGGCCUCAGGGAUAUUCCACACACCCUCUUCCUCUUCCCUUUGCAAACACAGUCUUUCAGCCUCAAUGAUGUAUCUAUUCUAGAUGAGUUAAAUAAAAAGUCAUGCA